rnacentral:rRNA from 1 species
UACAGAGGGCGCGAGCGUUGUCCGGAAUCACUGGGCGUAAAGGGCGCGUAGGUGGCCACCAUAAGGCCGCGGUGAAAGUCUGGGGCUCAACCCCGGAUCGGCCGCGGCGACUGUGGGGCUUGGGCACCGUAGAGGCAGAUGGAAUUCCGGGUGUAGCGGUGGAAUGCGUAGAGAUCCGGAAGAACAUCAGUGGCGAAGGCGGCCAUCUGGGACAACACUGACGCUGAGGCACGAAAGCGUGGGGAGCAAACAGG